rfam:Myotis davidii contig123449, whole genome shotgun sequence.
GGCGGUUCUGGGGUGAUAUACCCCGGAAUCAGGCUCCCUCCUCUCUGGUUCCGGAUACAUCACCCAAGAACUGCA